rnacentral:rRNA from 1 species
AUUGAACGCUGGCGGCAUGCUUUACACAUGCAAGUCGAACGGUAACAGGUUAAGCUGACGAGUGGCGAACGGGUGAGUAAUGCAUCGGAACGUGCCCGGUCGUGGGGGAUAACGCAGCGAAAGCUGCGCUAAUACCGCAUACGAUCUGAGGAUGAAAGCGGGGGACCGUAAGGCCUCGCGCGAUCGGAGCGGCCGAUGUCAGAUUAGGUAGUUGGUGGGGUAAAGGCUCACCAAGCCAACGAUCUGUAGCUGGUCUGAGAGGACGACCAGCCACACGGGGACUGAGACACGGCCCAGACUCCGACGGGAGGCAGCAGUGGGGAAUUUUGGACAAUGGGCGAAAGCCUGAUCCAGCAAUGCCGCGUGCAGGUAGAUGGCCUUCGGGUUGUAAACUGCUUUUGUACGGAGCGAAAAGGUCUCCUCUAAUACAGGGGGCUCAUGACGGUACCGUAAGAAUAAGCACCGGCUAACUACGUGCCAGCCGCCGCAGUAA